GCGGAAACAGCUGUGUCCGUCAACAGAGUAUGGCCACACAGGGUGUCCUGCGCCCAUGCAGUGGACUCGUUGGCCUUAGAAUGCAGUUCUGAUCCACGCGGCGGCACCGACGGACCUUGGGCACUGUGCUGUGUGAAAUAAGCAGGCACGGAAGGACAGAUGGUGUGUGGCAGCACUCACAGGGGCAUCCUGAGCAAGUUCACGGAGACAGAAGCACAUCAGCAGGUCUUUGUUCAGCGCACAAGAACCUGAACAAGUCACAGUGGAGCCCUUCCCUCCGGUAACACCAGUUGCCCCUCCCCUGGGAAGCCUUCAGAGGAUGGGAGCCUGCCUGGAACACCCAGAGUCCUGAGUCUCCUGCCCCAGGAGGUCUCCGAAGAUGCAGGCUGUACCUUCUACCCAGCCCCCAGCCCUCCACCUGCGAAGUGGAUGUGAAGUCGCUCUGUGCAUCUCCACCCCGCCCCCGCCGGUCGGCCCUUGCCUUGCUCAGGGUGCGACGCUCUUCCCUUCUCCUGUCCCUCAUGACCACUCCUGUCUGCCCUGGCCCCCCACACAUCCAGGGGCAGUUUGCUUCCUCCAUUGACCUCCCCUCUCUGUGACAUCUGUUUUUACAAACUUCAGGCAUCUAAGCCGGGCGCACUGGCCCAGGCCUGUAAUCCCAGCACUUUGGGAGGCCGAGGCGGGCAGAUCG